GACCUGGUAGCACAAUGUCAGUGCGUCUGCGUACAAUACGAGGGACAUAUCAACGUCUGUAGAAGGUCCCCGUUCGACUCGGGGUCAGGUCA